ACUCUGCUUGCCUGUCUGAUUACGCUUCUGUGUGUUAACCCUUUGGAACUCCGCUUGGUAUUGAACUCCUGUUGCCAUAACUCUGCUUGCCUGUCUGAUUACGCUUCUGUGUGUUAACCCUUUGGAACUCCGCUUGAUAUUUGACUACCUGUUGCCGAACUUUGCUUGCUUUUGGUUUACGCUUCCCUGCCUUGACCACUGUUACUUGGUUGAACUUCUGAUUACCGCUGCCGACCAGUUUUGCCUUUCCUGGCUACACCUCAGCUACUUCUUUGGGAACCGUCAUCCUGUGAACAACUACUAUCAACUAGACGCCACCUGACCCACCAGUGUUAUGGAGUGAAGCGGCUAAUUUCAUCACCUGCGCUAACCGUCAUAUCUGCUGAUUAUUCUUCAACAUCUUCCUGCAGCUGACGCCAAGCCACAAGACCCGCCCCACCACAGGCCGGCGCAUCCUGCUAGUAAUCACCGGCUCCCAUACUACACCUUCACUAGUCUCACUUGUAUCCAGUCGAGGGUGCACUGAUGGGGGAGCUGUAGGGGUUCUCUUCCUCAGCAUCCGUGGUUCCUCCCGGUUCGCUCCCUACCCAGGACACACACGGCCUGAAACAGUGGAUCAUCUUCACUGAAAACUGCAAGUCGGGGAACCCAGCUGCACCCACCAGCAAAUGCUGCUCCCCCGCUCUUGGAUACACUUUUAACAAAGAGAUAAGGGGACGUUCCUAGAGCCUGGAGUCUAUUUAACCACUGUAAGUUGCCCUUUUAUUUGACACUCUCUUCUGUGUGAAGGGAAACAGGAGGGGAAGAGAGAAUAAGCUGCAGAUUUAUAUCCCAUACACCCAAGGAAUAGAGGCUGGUGCCAGUUACCCAGCACCCAAGUCAUCUUGCUCCCUCUUGUCAAACUAUUCACUGAUUUUUUUUUUAGACAUUCCAAUGAACAAGCAUAUCAUUUUCUCCAUUACAUCACAAUAUUAAAAAUAUUUUUUGUCCUUGCAGCAAAUAACGAAAUUUCAGUUGUGAGAAUAUUGCUCUUUAUUUGCCUUUUUCUUUUCAGAGCCUAUUCCUAAACAUCACACCCAACAGAGCAAAGGGGCUUAUCUGCCUAUUUAGUCUACAGUCGCAGACUCAAUUCUAAGCACCACUUUCACUGACAGAUCUCCCCCCCCCACCUUAAGGUGAAGGCCUAAGUUUAUAUCAGAGUCAGCGCUGUGUGUUAUUACUAAUGGAGGAAUAGGCUAGACACCUCUAUAUAACUACUCCCAUCACCCACUGACUCCCAGCAUCCCCUGACUGUCUGGCCUCUGGCUGAACAACCCUGACCCCUUAUUCUAUAGCAAUGACAUUAAUAAUAACAGAAAAGUAAUAAUACAAUGUUAUAUUAUAUUUAGUAUUAUUAGUAAUAUAUGUAGCAGGAUUGCUUUGGAUGCAACCGUGUUUAUACUACUAAUUUCGGGGGAUUUUAACCGCACGCUACGAAUUCUUUUGUAACUAAUUAAAUUGCGACCCAAGGAAUUCAGGCUUGAUGGCCUUUACCGGUCGCAGGGAUUUAAAACAGAUAAAUAUUCUUGAAUUCUAUGUGUUUAGCUAAUUUCCAUUUACUUUUGGGUUUUAUGGGCAUUGGUAGUUUUACAAAUAGUUUUACAUCGUUGCCUGUUUGAAACAUUUCAUUUGUUUUUAAAAAGAAACAAUUGAAACCAAAAAUAUUUAGCACAACACUUUGUUUUAUUCAGAGUUGAUUCGAUUAUUCAGUGUUAUGUAGAAAUCAUCCGCCUCAUCCGAUAUAAACACAAGGGGAAUGUAUAUUUGAAAUCCUUCACUAGAGGGAAUUCACAGCGUUUCUUGUUUGUUUAGUUUGAGCGUUGGGUGAGCUUUUUGACACUAGAUAAACGGCACAGCUAUGAUACACCCUAAGAAACUCCACUCUGUAAAUAGAAAUAUUUUCUCUUACCUAAAGAGAGCAGCAUAAAAUAAUAUACACACACGUCACUCACAGAGGCACUCGCUCACUAUUUCAUUCUUAUAAAUAUAUAUACACACUCACUGGCUCUCAUCUCUUCCAUUUGUUGGCCUAGAGAAAUUGAAAAUACAAGAGAGUGAGUUAAGGUGGCCAUAGACGCAAAGAUCCGCUCGUUUGGCGACAUCUCCAAAUGAGCGGAUCUUUUCCCUGAUAUGCCAUUAACGAGUAUGACUAUAUCGGGGGUAAUCUGAACGUUCAGUUGUAUGACGAACGAUCCGAUUAUGAUGCGCAAUGGGCUCCGGCAGGAACGGUCGGGUCAGAAUCAAACCUGUCCGAUCG